rnacentral:lncRNA from 1 species
CGCUUCAAAAGACAUCUUCACACUUUUGAGAAUAAAUAAAAGAAAAAUAAAGUGAAUAAUUUCCUCUUAAGGUUUGUAAAGUUAGCAUUUCAUUUCAAAGGAAGAAUCUCUAAGGUGACUAUAUAAGUCAGUUAUUUGUGGAAUUAGGUGAGAUAGACAUAUUGACUUUGUUAUGUUGAAUUUUGGGUAUAAUUAUCUCUCUCUUACAUGAUAUGAUGAGUAUUGUGAGGGAUAUGAAUGGUUACAUAAUGAUGGGUUGCCGAGCUGAGAGAGAUUGAAUUUCGACUUCACUUAAUUCGUUUCACUUCUUAAAUCAUUGUCAGAUUAUUUUUUUAUUACUUGAGAACAAGCAAUAAUUUAAGUGUGAAGGAAUUUGAUAAGUGUUUAUUAUAUAUGGAUAUUAGUAGCAUUUUAUGUCUGUUUUUGGUAUAAAUUAGGAUGAUUUAAGAUAUAACUUGUUCCUCAAGCAUCUAAAUUUUACAAGUUUCAUUUGAGCAACUUAAUGUGCAAAAAACGGUUAUAUUUGCAGGAAUUGAGGAGAGCUUUCAAUGUUGGAGCGAGAUGGAUUCGAUUCGAAGUAAUUAACUCUUGAUUCAACGGUAAUUCAAAAAGUAGAAGAUCAAAUACAAGUAUUAAUGGUGCAUUACAUGAACAAACAUCUGGACAUGAUGAUUAGUGAGGAAUUAGAGUAAAAAACAAUCGAGAAAGCAAUCUAGAAGGCAAUCCGUGGCCUUAGGUUGCGUAUUGGGUGGUCGCGUAUUCUCCCCUAUUUUUCUACAACUUGUUCUGCAAAUUGCUCUGUUUUCACACUGCUUUUCAGCUCAAUUUUACCUCAAAAUUUCGGCUGCACAUGCUCAAGAUUCCUUAGGGAAAAGAAAAGGAGUUUUGUGUUUUAUCAUUAACCAUUUUUUUGACUUUCUUAACAAUAUAUAUGAAAGAAUCAUUGAGAAGAGACGGGAUUAUUAGUAGUUCUUAGUAGACAUUAGUUUUAGUUCUUUUCUCAUUCUUAGUGUGAGAACCCGUAAAUUUUCGUAUUUUCUAGGGUUUUGUUUUAUUUAAUCGCACGUUUUUCUGUAAUUUCUUUAUUAGAAAAUUUUCUAACUCGUUUUAUGAGUAAAUAGGAUUUUUAAAACAUUUUUCUAGUAUAAUUGAAUUUAUGAGAUUUUUGGAGCAUAUACCGGGCGUGGGACCCGCUAGUGCGGAAAGUUUGGUAAUAUUCGGCCAAUUAGGUUAAGUUUUGUAUACAGGAUUUAAUUUACUAGGUGCUAAUAGAUAAUUAAAGGAUAUCAUUUAGAUGAGUGUUGAGGAAACAAAAGGAUAGCUUAGCAUUUAUGAGAGUGACAAGUGUCACCUUGUGAUUUAUUCUUGAAUUUUGACCACUAUUCAUUACUUUACCAAUUUUAAAAAAAAAUUGACCAAAAAUUUCUCAUUUUCCUCAUCUUCUUGGCCAGCCAUCUUCAAGCAAAAAGGAAGAAGAACCUCUCCACUUUCUUAUCUCUAAUCUUGCCCAAUCUUUCAAUUCAACCGUUUAAUCUUCAAAUUACUCCAUAAAACCUUUUAGUUUAGUGGUAUUAAGGUUGGUUGUAAAGUGGUUUGGAAGACCAAGGUGCUAAAUUGGGUCUUUUCUUGGGUUUGCAAGGUAUGUGACCAAGGAACCUUCCCUUUGAUCCUAAUAAUGCUCAAUUGGUACCUUAUGUGAGUUAAAGAGAUAAUUUUAGGUGCUAUUUUGUGAUUUUUGGUUGAAAUAAGUGAAUUUUCCUAUUUAUUCAUGAUUUUUCUGUUUUUAUAUGUUUAAUGUUGUUGAGCUAUGGAUGACGACUUGGAAUGGUUUAGAAUGAAGCUUGGAUGCGUAAAUUGUAGCCAUUUGCGGAAAAUUUCCGCUUUGAACCGAAAUUUCCAGAUUAGGGUUUCCAUUUUUCCCCUUCUGCCUGGUACUGUUUUCCCCAGUUAGAGGCCGAAUUACCCUUGGGUUAAAACAUGAAAGUUGUAUAGAAUGAUAUUUUAUAGUUUCCUGCAAAAUUUCAACUCAAUCGGAGCAACGUAGCCUAUAAAAAGACCGAAAUACCCCUGCUACCCUGUUUAUGUCCGAACCUGCUAAUCCGCUUCUAUAAUUGGUUAGUUUGACCAGGAAUACUACUGAUGUGGUUGUCGGUGUCUUCUUAAGACUUAUACCCUUGUAUCUUAGCUUUCAAAUGGCUUUGGAAUCACUUGAAUUGGAGUUGUAUAUGCUGAGAUAUGACUAAAUGAAUCAAGACUGCCACAGUAAACUUCGAAUUGGAAAAUCUGGGGUUGUUUUGAUACAUUUGACUUAGAUACAUUGCAAACUGGACUGAGUGGCCUUCUUUAACAUUGUAGCCCUUUCUCUUAGUUUCGAAACGCUAUAAAUUACAUCUCAAUCCAACAAGGAUAGCUUCAGUUGUGUUAAUUCCGCUAAGCAACAGCAAAUCUGCCUUUUGUUUUCCAACCCAAACUUCGUUUCCGCAUAUGUCCUAGUUUGAUUUUGCACUUAUACGUUCCAUAUAAUUUUACUCUAGUGAGUGGAUUCGGUUUAUGACUCGUAUUCGAACCUUAUUGUGGCUCUAAUUAAAAUUGUUUGAUAGCUUGUGAUUUGUGGGUGCUGAGGUUUGGUUGAAAAGUAAAGAAAGACAUGGCAAAUGCUGUCAAAAUUUUCGUGGAGCUUCUGCACAGUCUCGGGAAAUUUGCUAUAUCUUGAUGUAGGAAUGUCGGAAUUGAAUUCCGUUUGUUGCAUUUUAAACUAGAUUCAUAGGGCUAUAAACCGUGUAAAUUUCAGACCCUGUUUAUGUUUGUACCAUUUAUGGUGAUUUUCAAAGUUGACUGAAAUAUUGUACCUGUUCUGUCUUUCACUGGAUAAAGCAGCAACUUGAUGCUUGAAUUUGACUGAGUUGCGUUCUGAAUCUUAUGAGGGUGUUCUCUGGAAAGUUAUAUCCCUUUGAAUGUAUUUUCCAACGGUAUAACUUUUACUAAUUUUGGACUUAUAAAACUUGAGAUAUGAUUUUUCAUAUAGGGUUGCGCGAAACUGGAAAAUCCUGUUUUCCUAGUAUCGAUCUUACUUUCAUUUUCUACUUCAAAUUUGGAGUUGGUCAGUCAUUGUAGGUAGGGGUUUUGAGAUUGUUCAUGCCUUUACGACUAAUUGUUAUCUUUUCACUCCAAAGUCACAUCUUCGCUUUACAUUAAUGGUUCAUUUGGAUUGGCACCUGACUUGUAAUCGAGUUUUACUUGCGAAUUCCACUUAUUAGGUCUUGGAGUCCAGUCUUAAGUGUUUGCUUUGAUUGUUCUAGGAGGUGCCAGCGAGUAAAGCCAUACUUGGGAAGGAAACUUUUGAAAUUAUCCUUGUUUGAUCAGGUGAGUGCACCACUCCCCUGAGUUAUUGCUAAACUGAUUUUCUGUACCUGCAACUUGCUAUUUGAAUAUCUUUCCUGACUGUUUAUCUUGUAUGAGACGAGGGUGUAUUUUAUCACACUCGUUCUCUUGCCUGUACUGAACGAACUGGAAUACUUGCUAUGUACUUGAACUUGUUACUUGUACUUGUUAUGCAAUCGUUUGGAAGUGUGUCCAACGAUCGUCCUAUUAAACUUGAUCGUCCUGUUAAACUUGAACUCAACCUCAUGGGGAGUUAAUUAAAUCGAGCCAGCAAGGGUUUGGUCGAGAUAAUUGACAAUCCAUGGGUACCUGUUCCUGGGGAAUCUUUGGGUAUUUAGAUUCUUGAUUCCGAUAUACUCGAGUAUUACCAUUCCUGUUCCUGUUUGGCAUUCGGAUCCGGUAAGGGGUAUGUUUGGUGAACGGGGUUUUGGCGUUAAAGUGGUGUUCUACUGGACUGAUUUCUUUUUCAAACGUUGACGGAGGGUCAACGAGGCGGGAUCAAGUAUAGCAACGGGGAUUUGGCUCCUGAGAGCCACCUGUAUCCUUUACAUUGUGAUGUUCAUUCAUUUCUCGUAUUUGAUGUGAAUAUGUGCCUCCAAAGUGCUUUCUCAUGAAUUCUACUGAUUCUACUGUUUAUACUGUUGGUACCUCAUUGAGCUUUUAACUCACCCCGUUCCAUUAUCCUUGUUUUCCUUACAGGGAACCAUCUUUUGGAACUGCAAUGUUUUGAGAAAUGAGUUGAGUUAGUUAGAAAUUCUUUUGUUCUCUUGGUAUAGCUCCUCGACAACUUGGAAACCCUAAAUGUAUCUUAAUACAAUGUUUCCUUUUGGAUUUGUAAACUUACUAAUAUAUAUAUUUAAAAUGUUUCCUCAUGUUUAUGUGAUAUAUAUAUUCGGGAAUGUACAUUCUUUCAUGGUAAACAAAGUGUACGUGUACUUGGUUAGAUCCUAAAUGGUGGCGGCCCUUCCAUUUCGUUGUGAUUCGUGUAGUUUUAUUCCGGUUUUGAUGGAGGUAUGACUGAGUCCCGGCGAAAGCUGGGCAAGCGGUCCGCCGAACCUUUUGGUUCGCCUUAGGGUGAGGUGGGGCUGUCACAGGUGGUAUCAAAGCUGCUUCGCGUGGUUUCUGCGCGGAGUGAGAUUGGGCCAAGUGGUGUUAUGGUCCCGAUUCCGUGAAUGUGUACCAAUAUAUAAGUGCUCUUUGAGAAUAAGCUAUGGAUCGUGAAGCGUUAUAAGUUAUAAACCUUUAUCAUGGCGCUUUGGGAUAGUAGAUCUGUAGGUCAGGUAAGAAUCUCAAUUGUAAAUACCCUUGGGACUGGCCAGCCCGAGUCAUGAAUUAUCUUAUUUUGGGAUUCUUGUACCCGACUACUAAAUAGAUGAGAGUCUAGGUUAGAAGUGACUUGGGCGAACUAGAAUUUGAUUCUACGGGACAUCAUGUAAUGUGUUAGGGUAAAACUAAGGAUGAUUGACCCUGCCUAAGAUAUAAAUUAGGUUAUUCUUGUGGAUCAUGCCUGGAACCCUAAAGAGUGACAGCUUUGAGUUGGUUGGUCUUGUACCAUUGGUCUAGUUAGUAAUAUUCAUGAUGGUUCAUUUUGCUUGUAUUUAAUUGACUGUUAUUGUGUGAUCUGUUUGUGUUAGAUGUGCUAUAUGUAUAUUACCUACUUCUAUCACUUAUACUGCAUACUUUGUUUUAAUAUUAUAUUCGCGCUUCACCCCUAGACUGGUUAAGCCAAAAGGACGGUACUCGUAGUGGACGGGGACGGGGGCGCGGAACCUCAAAUGAAGGAGGAAAUCGGGAACCAAUGCUUGGACCUAAUCCCGAACUUGGAGUGCACCCUAAAGUUCAGGUAGCUGCCGCUAUCCAACAUAUGACUGACCUUUUGGCACACGUAAUAGAACAUCAGGGUCAAAAUCCCAAUCAUCAGCUGGGAAACCCUGGUAAUCACAUUGAGGGUGAGGAUAGAGCUCUCGAAAGAUUUCAGAAGUUCUUGCUACCUAAAUUCCUGGGGGGACCAGACCCUGACGUGGCCGAGAGAUGGCUAGAGAAGAUGAUUGAUAUAUUUGCCGCGUUACAUUAUACUGAGGAGCGACAUGUCACAUUUGCUGUCUUCCAACUAGAGGGAGCAGCCCGUUCUUGGUGGAAUAUCAUAAGACUGAAAUGGGAAAGAGAACAAACCCCAAGGACGUGGGUGAAUUUCAUGAGAGAGUUCAACACGAAGUAUUUUCCACCCCUGAUCCAGGAAAAGAAAGAAGAUGAGUUUAUUAGGCUCCACCAGGGAACUCAAACCGUCGUCGAAUAUGAGAGCCAGUUCACCAGAUUGUCCAAAUUCGCUCCCGAACUAAUAAUGACUGAGCAAAGGAGGAGAAGGCGUUUUGUCCAAGGAUUAAAUGUUGAGAUCCAGAAAGACCUGGUUGUAGCCCAACUCAAUACCUUUAGUGAUGCGGUAAAGAAAGUUCAACGAGUUGAAAGUGCAAAAUUUCAAGUUAGAAACUUUCAAGCUAACAAAAGGGAAUUUCCUGGAAGUACCUCAGAGCAAGGGGAUAAGGGUACGCCUCCUAAGAUUGGAAGGGGAAACGAGGAAGUACAAUUACCAAGAAUGUCAAGUGGUGCCUCACAGAGAGGCUCAGUCUCCGCUUCUCGUGGUCCCUGCGGGUACUGUGGGAAACCGAAUCACACGGAGGAUGUCUGCUGGAAGAAAGGAAGGAAAUGUCUGCGUUGUGGGAGCGCAGAUCAUCAAAUCGCAAAUUGCCCAGGCCGAUCUUGAGAAGGGAGUAGGAGCCAACAGCCAACCACCACCAACCCUGACCAGUCGAAGGGGGAAAAGAAUGGAUCGAAAGUGUCAACUCGGGUGUACUCCUUAGAACAACAUCAAGUCUCUGACCCAUAUGAGAACGUGGAAGGUAAGAUUCUAGUAUCCCACCGUUUGCCAGCUAGAAUGGUGUAUAAGAAUUGGAAUUUGGCAAGGAAGAAGAAACUAUACCAAAGAAUUCAAUGAGCCUGGUUAGUGAAGGGGUACAGAUUGGUUAGCUAAGUAUGAUACUCAAUUUGACUGUGAGAUGGAAGUAGUAAAAUUUUUGUAUCCCGAAAAAGACGAUGAUAAGGAAUUUCGAGGACGAAAUUCUUUUAAGAGGGAGAGAUAGGGAUGGCAAUGGGGGCGGGUGCCCGCGGGUGCCCGCCCGCGGGGGGCUCACGGGGCGGGGGUUGGGGCGGGGGGUGGGGCGGGGGCGGGAGGGAAUUUUUUCCCCCCGCUUAGAAACGGGGCGGGGGGGCGGGGGAGUAUACCCCCGCCCCAUCCCCCGCCCCGCCACCCGCAAAAAAAAAAUGUAUAUAUAUAUAUAUAUAAAUGACUAUAUAUUAUAUGUAAGUUAAUUAGUUAUAAACUUAUGAUAAUGAUAUUAUUAGUUAGAUGUAUUAUAUAAUGUAUAUUAGUUUAUGUAAUAUAAUUGAUAUUAUCAAUUAUAUGAAUAAUUAUACAUGUCUACUAAUAGAAUUUAUUAAUUAGUUAUACUAAAUUUACUAAUACAUUUAUACUAAAUUUCUAAUUACACUUAAUAGAAUAACACUUUUUUCUCAAAAAAAAAACACAAACACAAUGAUGAAUUAGUGAUUGCAUUUGUACUAAAAGUGAAAAUUUGACUAUUUUAGUUAUAUUUAUUUCAUCAUAUUGGAUUGUAUUCAAAUAACUUCUGUUUGAUUGUUUUUAUGAGUUUCAAUUGUAAAAUUACAAUGAAUAAUAAUUUGGUGAUGUGUUGAUAUUUUAGUACUUGAUUAUUUAUUUAAAAUUUAAUUAUAAUAAAAUUAUAUAAUAAAAUUUUAUUAACCCCGCGGGGGAAGCGGGGCAAGGCGGGGGGGGGGCGGCGGGGGGAGCGGGAGGCGGGGGACGGGGCGGGGGAUGGGGGGAACUAAUAGGCAACGGGGCGGGGGACGGGGGAGGGGUCCCCCGCCCCAACCCCGCCCCGUUGCCAUCCCUAGGGAGAGAGUGUGAAAACCCGUAAAUUUUCGUAUUUUCUAGGGUUUUGUUUUAUUUAAUCGCACGUUUUUCUGUAAUUUCUUUAUUAGAAAAUUUUCUAACUUGUUUUAUGAGUAAAUAGGGUUUUUAAAAUAUUUUUCUAGUAUAAUUGAGUUCAUGAGAUUUUUGGAGCGUAUACCGGGCGUGGGACCCGCUAGUGCGGAAAGUUCGGUAAUAUUCGGCCAAGUAGGUUAAAUUUUGUACACAGGAUUUAAUUUAUUAGGUACUAAGAGAUAAUUAGAGGAUAUCAUUUAGAUGAGUGUUGAGGAAACAAAAGGAUAGCUUAGCAUUUAUGAGGGUGACAAGUGUCACCUUGUGAUUUAUUCUUGAAUUUUGACCACUAUUCAUUACUUUACCAAUUAAAACAAAAAUUGACCAAAAAUUGACCAUUUUCUUCAUCUUCUUGGCCAGCCAUCUUCAAGCAAAAAGGAAGAAAAACCUCUCCACUUUCUUACCUCUAAUCUUGCCCAAUCUUUCAAUUCAACCGUUUAAUCUUCAAAUUACUCCAUAAAAUCUUUUAGUUUAGUGGUAUUAAGGUUGGUUGUGAAGUGGUUUGGAAGACCAAGGUGCUAAAUUGGGUCUUUUCUUGGGUUUGCAAGGUAUGUGACCAAGGAACCUUCCCUUUGAUCCUAAUAAUGCUCAAUUGGUACCUUAUGUGAGUUAAAGAGAUAAUUUUAGGUGCUAUUUUGUGACUUUUGUUUAAAUAGGUGAAUUUUCCUAUUUAUUCAUGAUUUUUCUGUUUUUAUAUGUUUAAUGUUGUUGAGCUAUGGAUGAUGGCUUGGAAUGGUUUAGAAUGAAGCUUGGAUGCAUAAAUUAUAGCUAUUUGCGGAAAAUUUCCGCUUUGAACCGAAAUUUCCAGAUUAGGGUUUCCAUUUUUUUCCCUUCUAUCUGAUACUUUUUUCCCUAGUUAGAGGCCGAAUUAGCCUUGGGUUAAAACGUAAAAGUUGUAUAGAAUGAUAUUUUAUAACUGUCUGCAAAAUUUCAACUCAAUCGGAGCAACAUAGCUCGUAAAAAGACUGAAAUACCCCUGCUACCCUGUUUAUGUCCGAACCUGCUAAUCCGCUUCUGUAAUUGGUUAGUUUUACCAGGAAUACUACUGAUUUAGUUGUCAGUGUCUUCUUAAGACUUAUACCCUUGUAUCUUAGCUUUCAAAUGGCUUUGGAAUCACUUGAAUUGGAGUUGUAUAUGCUGAGAUAUGACUGAAUGAAUCAGGACUGCCACAGUAAUCUUUGAAUUGGAAAAUCUGGGGUUAUUUUGGUAAAUUUGACUUAGAUACAUUGCAAACUGGACUGAGUGGCCUUCUUUAACAUUGUAACCCUUUCUCUUAGUUUCGAAACGCUAUAAAUUACACCUCAAUCCAACAAGGAUAGCUUCAGUUGUGUUAAUUCCGCUAAGCAACAGCAAAUCUGCCUUUUGUUUUCCAACCCAAACUUCGUUUCCGCAUAUGUCCUAAUUUGAUUUUGCACUUAUACGUUCCAUAUGAUUUUACUCUAGUGAUAUGUGGAUUCGGUUUAUGACUCGUAUUUGAACCUUAUUGUGGCUAUAAUUAAAGGUGUUUGAUAGCUUGUGAUUUGUGGGUGUUGAGGUUAGGUUGGAAAGUAAAGAAAGACAAGGCAAAUGCUGUCAAAAUUUUUGUGGAGCUUCUGCACAGUCUCAGAAAAUUUGCUAUAUCUUGAUGUAGGAAUGUUGGAAUUGAGUUCCGUUUAUUGCGUUUUAAACUAGAUUCAUAGGGCUAUAAACUGUGUAAAUUUUAGACCCUGUUUAUGUUUGUACCAUUUAUGGUGAUUUUCAAAGUUGACUGAAAUAUUGUACCUGUUCUGUCUUUCACUGGAUAAAGCAACAACUUGAGGCUUGAAUUUGACUGAGUUGCGUUCUGAAUCUUAUGAGGGUGUUCUCUGGAAAGUUAUAUCCCUUUGAAUGUAUUUUCCAACGGUAUAACUUUUACUAAUUUUGGACUUAUAAAACUUGAGAUAUGAUUUUUCAUAUAGGGUUGCGCGAAACUGGAAAAUCCGAUUUUCCUAGUAUUGAUCUUACUUUCAUUUUCUACUUCAAAUUUGGAGUUGGUCAGUCAUUGUAGGUAGGGGUUUUGAGAUUGUUCAUGCCUUUACGACUAAUCGUUAUCUUUUCACUCCAAAGUCACCUCUUCGCUUUACAUUAAUGGUUCAUUUGGAUAGGCACCUGACUUGUAAUCGAGUUUUACUUGCGAAUUCCACUUAUUAGGUCUUGGAGUCCAGUCUUAAGUGUUUGCCUUGAUUGUUCUAGGAGGUGCCGGCGAGUAAAGCCUUACUUGGGAAGGAAACUUUUGAAAUUAUCCUUGUUUGAUCAGGUGAGUGCACCACUCCCCUGAGUUAUUGCUAAACUGAUUUUCUGUACUUGUAACUUGCUAUUUGAAUAUCUUUCCUGACUGUUUAUCUUGUAUGAGACGAGGGUGUAAUUUAUCACACUCGUUCUCUUGCCUGUACUGAACGAACUGGAAUACUUGCUAUGUACUUGAACUUGUUACUUGUACUUGUUAUGCAAUCGUUUGGAAGUGUGUCCAACGAUCGUCCUAUUAAACUUGAUCGUCCUGUUAAACUUGAGCUCAACCUCAUGGGGAGUUAAUUAAAUCGAGCCAGCAAGGGCUUGGUCGAGAUAAUUGACAAUCCAUGGGUACCUGUUCCUCGGGAGUCUUUGGGUAUUGAGACUCUUGAUUCCGGUAUACUCGAGUAUUACCAUUCCUGUUCCUGUUUGGCAUUCGGACCCGGUAAGGGGUAUGUUUGGUGAACGGGGUUUUGACGUUAAAGUGGUGUUCUACCGGACUGGUUUCUUUUUCGAACGUUGACGGAGGGUCAACGAGGCGGGAUCAAAUAUAGCAACGGGGAUUUGGCUCCUGAGGGCCACCUGUAUCCUUUACAUUGUUAUGUUCAUUUAUUUCUCGUAUUUGAUGUGAAUACAUGCCUCCAAAGUGCUUUCUCAUGAAUUCUACUGAUUCUACUGUUUAUACUGUUGGUACCUCAUUGAGCUUUUAGCUUACCCCGUUCCGUUAUCCUUGUUUUCCUGACAGGGAACCAUCUUUUGGAACUGCAAUGUUUUGAGAAAUGAGUUGAGCUAGUUAGAAAUUCUUUUGUUCUCUUGGUGUAGCUCCUCGACAACUUGGAAACCCUAAAUAUAUCUUAAUACAAUGUUUCCUUUUGGAUUUGU